CUCAAAUGAAUUGACGGGGGCCCGCACAAGCGGUGGAGCAUGUGGUUUAAUUCGAUGCAACGCGAAGAACCUUACCUGGUCUUGACAUCCACAGAACUUAGCAGAGAUGCUUUGGUGCCUUCGGGAACUGUGAGACAGGUGCUGCAUGGCUGUCGUCAGCUCGUGUUGUGAAAUGUUGGGUUAAGUCCCGCAACGAGCGCAACCCUUAUC
rnacentral:rRNA from 1 species